rnacentral:rRNA from 1 species
AUUGAACGCUGGCGGCAUGCCUUACACAUGCAAGUCGAACGGUAACGGGCCUUCGGGUGCUGACGAGUGGCGAACGGGUGAGUAAUACAUCCGAACGUGCACGAUCGUGGGGGAUAACGAGGCGAAAGCUUUGCUAAUACCGCAUACGAUCUACGGAUGAGAGCAGGGGACCGCAAGGCCUUGCGCGGACGGAGCGGCCGAUGGCAGAUUAGGUAGUUGGUGGGAUAAAAGCUUACCAAGCCGACGAUCUGUAGCUGGUCUGAGAGGAUGAUCAGCCACACUGGGACUGAGACACGGCCCAGACUCCUACGGGAGGCAGCAGUGGGGAAUUUUGGACAAUGGGCGCAAGCCUGAUCCAGCCAUGCCGCGUGCAGGAUGAAGGCCUUCGGGUUGUAAACUGCUUUUGUACGGAACGAAAGGCAUUCUUUUAUUACAGGGGGGUCAUGACGGUACCGUAAGAAUAAGCACCGGCUAACUACGUG